rnacentral:rRNA from 1 species
UACGUAGGGUGCAAGCGUUAAUCGGAAUUACUGGGCGUAAAGCGUGCGCAGGCGGCUUUGUAAGUUAGAGGUGAAAGCCCGGAGCUCAACUCCGGAACUGCCUUUAAGACUGCAUCGCUUGAAUCAUGGAGAGGUCAGUGGAAUUCCGAGUGUAGAGGUGAAAUUCGUAGAUAUUCGGAAGAACACCAGUGGCGAAGGCGACUGACUGGACAUGUAUUGACGCUGAGGUGCGAAAGCGUGGGGAGCAAACAGG